UCAAACUUGGUCAUUUAGAGGAAGUAAAAGUCGUAACAAGGUUUCCGUAGGUGAACCUGCGGAAGGAUCAUUAUUGAACAAAAUUUAAAACAGGCUGCUGCUGGUUCUGCGGAGCAUGUGCACGUCUUGUUUUAUUUUUUAAAAUGUUCCACCUGUGCACUAGUGGUGGAGAUCUUUCUAGAGCAAUAAACCGUUUCGAAGAGAGAGAGGCCACAAGGCUCCUUUCGAUGGAAAGAGAUUAGCGGUCGAACACCGCCGCUUUUCUUGUUGACAAAUUGUUCUAGAGGGAUCUCCACUGUUUUCUUUGUCACACCGUAUAAAUGGAUUCAGAACGUUGAACAAAAAAUUAGACCUCGUGUCUUUUUUUGAUAAAUCACAUAUAACUUUCAACAACGGAUCUCUUGGCUCUCGCAUCGAUGAAGAACGCAGC
rnacentral:misc_RNA from 1 species